rnacentral:rRNA from 1 species
GAUGAACGCUGGCGGCGUGCCUAAUACAUGCGAGUCGAGCGAACAGACGAGGAUCUUGCUCCUCUGACGUUAGCGGCGGACGGGUGAGUAACACGUGGAUAACCUACCUAUAAGACUGGGAUAACUUCGGGAAACCGGAGCUAAUACCGGAUAAUAUAUUGAACCGCAUGGUUCAAUAGUGAAAGACGGUUUUGCUGUCACUUAUAGAUGGAUCCGCGCCGCAUUAGCUAGUUGGUAAGGUAACGGCUUACCAAGGCAACGAUGCGUAGCCGACCUGAGAGGGUGAUCGGCCACACUGGAACUGAGACACGGUCCAGACUCCUACGGGAGGCAGCAGUAGGGAAUCUUCCGCAAUGGGCGAAAGCUUGACGGAGCAACGCCGCGUGAGUGAUGAAGGUCUUCGGAUCGUAAAACUCUGUUAUUAGGGAAGAACAAAUGUGUAAGUAACUAUGCACGUCUUGACGGUACCUAAUCAGAAAGCCACGGCUAACUACGUG